CCUACGGGGGGCUGCAGUCGAGAAGCUUCGGCAAUGGGGGAAACCCUGACCGAGCGACGCCGCGUGCAGGAUGAAGGCCUUCGGGUUGUAAACUGCUUUCGACAGGGAAGAAGGGCGUUUGGGAUAAUACCCCGAUCGUUUGACGGUACCUGGAGAAGAAGCCUCGGCUAAUUCCGUGCCAGCAGCCGCGGUAAUACGGGGGAGGCAAGCGUUAAUCGGAUUUAUUGGGCGUAAAGGGCGCGUAGGCGGUUUCUUAAGUCAGGUGUUAAAGACCACGGCUCACCCGUGGGGCUGCGCCUGAUACUGAGGGACUGGAGUGCAGCAGAGGCAAGCGGAAUUCCCGGUGUAGCGGUGAAAUGCAUAGAUAUCGGGAGGAACACCAGUGGCGAAGGCGGCUUGCUGGGCUGUAACUGACGCUGAGGCGCGAAAGCCAGGGGAGCGAACGGGAUUAGAUACCCCUGUAGUC
rnacentral:rRNA from 1 species